rnacentral:tRNA from 1 species
GCCUGGGUGGCUGAGUCGGUUAAGCGUCUGACUGUGGCUCAGGUCAUGAUUUCAUGGUUCGUGAGUUCAAGCCCCGCGUUGGGCU